rnacentral:rRNA from 1 species
UUAAGCGACUAAGCGUACACGGUGGAUGCCCUGGCAGUCAGAGGCGAUGAAGGACGUGCUAAUCUGCGAAAAGCGUCGGUAAGGUGAUAUGAACCGUUAUAACCGGCGAUGUCCGAAUGGGGAAACCCAGUGCAAUUCGUUGCACUAUCGUUAACUGAAUACAUAGGUUAACGAGGCGAACCGGGGGAACUGAAACAUCUAAGUACCCCGAGGAAAAGAAAUCAACCGAGAUUCCCCCAGUAGCGGCGAGCGAACGGGGAGCAGCCCAGAGUCUGAAUCAGCUUGUGUGUUAGUGGAACGGUCUGGAAAGUCCGACGGUACAGGGUGAUAGUCCCGUACACCAAAAUGCACAGGUUGUGAACUCGAAGAGUAGGGCGGGACACGUGGUAUCCUGUCUGAAUAUGGGGGGACCAUCCUCCAAGGCUAAAUACUCCUGACUGACCGAUAGUGAACCAGUACCGUGAGGGAAAGGCGAAAAGAACCCCGGCGAGGGGAGUGAAAAAGAACCUGAAACCGUGUACGUACAAGCAGUGGGAGCACCUUCGGGUGUGACUGCGUACCUUUUGUAUAAUGGGUCAGCGACUUAUAUUCUGUAGCAAGGUUAACCGUAUAGGGGAGCCGCAGGGAAACCGAGUCUUAACUGGGCGUUAAGUUGCAGGGUAUAGACCCGAAACCCGGUGAUCUAGCCAUGGGCAGGUUGAAGGUUGGGUAACACUAACUGGAGGACCGAACCGACUAAUGUUGAAAAAUUAGCGGAUGACUUGUGGCUGGGGGUGAAAGGCCAAUCAAACCGGGAGAUAGCUGGUUCUCCCCGAAAGCUAUUUAGGUAGCGCCUCGUGAAUUCAUCUUCGGGGGUAGAGCACUGUUUCGGCUAGGGGGUCAUCCCGACUUACCAACCCGAUGCAAACUACGAAUACCGAAGAAUGUUAUCACGGGAGACACACGGCGGGUGCUAACGUCCGUCGUGAAGAGGGAAACAACCCAGACCGCCAGCUAAGGUCCCAAAGUCAUGGUUAAGUGGGAAACGAUGUGGGAAGGCACAGACAGCCAGGAUGUUGGCUUAGAAGCAGCCAUCAUUUAAAGAAAGCGUAAUAGCUCACUGGUCGAGUCGGCCUGCGCGGAAGAUGUAACGGGGCUAAACCAUGCACCGAAGCUGCGGCAGCGACACUAUGUGUUGUUGGGUAGGGGAGCGUUCUGUAAGCCUGCGAAGGUGUGCUGUGAGGCAUGCUGGAGGUAUCAGAAGUGCGAAUGCUGACAUAAGUAACGAUAAAGCGGGUGAAAAGCCCGCUCGCCGGAAGACCAAGGGUUCCUGUCCAACGUUAAUCGGGGCAGGGUGAGUCGACCCCUAAGGCGAGGCCGAAAGGCGUAGUCGAUGGGAAACAGGUUAAUAUUCCUGUACUUGGUGUUACUGCGAAGGGGGGACGGAGAAGGCUAUGUUAGCCGGGCGACGGUUGUCCCGGUUUAAGCAUGUAGGCUGAUUGUCCAGGCAAAUCCGGAUAAUCAAGGCUGAGGUGUGAUGACGAGGCACUACGGUGCUGAAGUAACAAAUGCCCUGCUUCCAGGAAAAGCCUCUAAGCAUCAGGUAACAUUAAAUCGUACCCCAAACCGACACAGGUGGUCAGGUAGAGAAUACCAAGGCGCUUGAGAGAACUCGGGUGAAGGAACUAGGCAAAAUGGUGCCGUAACUUCGGGAGAAGGCACGCUGGUGUGUAGGUGAAGUCCCUGCGGAUGGAGCUGAGACCAGUCGAAGAUACCAGCUGGCUGCAACUGUUUAUUAAAAACACAGCACUGUGCAAACACGAAAGUGGACGUAUACGGUGUGACGCCUGCCCGGUGCCGGAAGGUUAAUUGAUGGGGUUAUCCGUAAGGAGAAGCUCUUGAUCGAAGCCCCGGUAAACGGCGGCCGUAACUAUAACGGUCCUAAGGUAGCGAAAUUCCUUGUCGGGUAAGUUCCGACCUGCACGAAUGGCGUAAUGAUGGCCAGGCUGUCUCCACCCGAGACUCAGUGAAAUUGAACUCGCUGUGAAGAUGCAGUGUACCCGCGGCAAGACGGAAAGACCCCGUGAACCUUUACUAUAGCUUGACACUGAACAUUGAGCCUUGAUGUGUAGGAUAGGUGGGAGGCUUUGAAGCGUGGACGCCAGUCUGCGUGGAGCCAACCUUGAAAUACCACCCUUUAAUGUUUGAUGUUCUAACGUUGGCCCCUUACCGGGGUUGCGGACAGUGUCUGGUGGGUAGUUUGACUGGGGCGGUCUCCUCCCAAAGCGUAACGGAGGAGCACGAAGGUUAGCUAAUCCUGGUCGGACAUCAGGAGGUUAGUGCAAUGGCAUAAGCUAGCUUGACUGCGAGCGUGACGGCGCGAGCAGGUGCGAAAGCAGGUCAUAGUGAUCCGGUGGUUCUGAAUGGAAGGGCCAUCGCUCAACGGAUAAAAGGUACUCCGGGGAUAACAGGCUGAUACCGCCCAAGAGUUCAUAUCGACGGCGGUGUUUGGCACCUCGAUGUCGGCUCAUCACAUCCUGGGGCUGAAGUAGGUCCCAAGGGUAUGGCUGUUCGCCAUUUAAAGUGGUACGCGAGCUGGGUUUAGAACGUCGUGAGACAGUUCGGUCCCUAUCUGCCGUGGGCGCUGGAGAAUUGAGGGGGGCUGCUCCUAGUACGAGAGGACCGGAGUGGACGCAUCACUGGUGUUCGGGUUGUCAUGCCAAUGGCACUGCCCGGUAGCUAAAUGCGGAAGAGAUAAGUGCUGAAAGCAUCUAAGCACGAAACUUGCCCCGAGAUGAGUUCUCCCUGAGACUUUAAGUCUCCUGAAGGAACGUUGAAGACGACGACGUUGAUAGGCCGGGUGUGUAAGCGCAGCGAUGCGUUGAGCUAACCGGUACUAAUGAACCGUGAGGCUUAACCUU